GGGUUCUACUCCUGGAUUUACCAUUGAUCGCCGUGAGGCGACAUGUUUUGGUGUCUGAUCCAGCCUGCACUGAAUCGUGAGCACCAUCUGCGUAGGCCUGGGAAUUUCUCCCCGAUUUGAGGCUUGCGCCACCUACGGUCUUGGACAGCCCCCAACCGGCAGGGACCCCAAUAGUUGACGCGCCGCGAACGGCGCGC
rfam:Pseudomonas bauzanensis strain CGMCC 1.9095 genome assembly, contig: Ga0066784_112